AUGGGUUUCAAUGCUACCUGAGGUCACAAGCUCUAGAUAUGCUGGUCCUAGCCCCAGAGAAUGUCCAGGGCACAGAAGCUUCAGGGCUUACAAACUCUAGCAGCUGGUCUUCAGGCAUAGGCUGUGUUAUUUUUACAACCCAGGAGCUUUUCCUCCUGGCGUGAGGAACAGUGCCCCACUAGACAUCGGUUUCUUGCAGAGAUGACAUCCAUAAGCUCAUGUUGGGUGCUGGGAAAAUGCCCCAAUUAUACAUGCAUUUGCUCCCGAGUGGGUUGGCACCUUUGUGAAAGCAGCAGCACUCUUCACAUGGCCAGAUUAUGUAAGGCAUGUUCAUUCAGACAAUUUAAUAGGGACAUUGAGCAAUGAAGAUGCCCUUAGAUAUAAAUCAACCCACAGGGAGCCCUGGAGGCAGGCUGCUUAAAACCAAAAACCUCAAAUUGGGGUAUAAAAACUUUGUAAUGUAUCCAAUAUGACUAGUACAAGGGAUCUGAAACACAUGUAUGAGCAUAACAGGGUUUGUGGAGAGCCAUAUCACUUUUGUCUUUUCAGGUUCUACAGAAACUUCAGCUGUAUAUGAUCCCUCAUUCAUCCCUGUGGACUCACUCCUAAGGGUACAGUUUCAAAAACCUCUAGAAAAUGGAGAUACCAAGUGGUUUACUGAUGGCAGUAGUUACAUGAAGUACAGAGUUAAAAGGCAGUUUAUGCCAUGGUGGGUCUUACUCAGGUGAUAGAAUCUCAGACAUUGCCAACUAGCACUUGAUCACAAAAGGCUGAACUUACUGCUUUAACUAUAGCCUUGCAAUGAGGAAGAGCUAAUGAGUUAAUAUGUACGGGCUCCAGUUUGUUUUCCUUGAGUUCCAUGCACAUGGAGCAAUUUGGAAAGGAAGAGCCCUCCUGACUGCAAAGAACUCUCCCAUUAAAUAAGGAGAAGAGAUGUUGGCUCUCCUUCAGGAGCACUGGAGUCUUUAGAAAGUGGUUGUCAUCUGCUGCAGGGGACACAAGAAGACAGAUAGCCAUGCUAUUCAGGGAAAUGUGCUAGCAGAUAAGGCAGCAAAAAUUGCUGCUGCAGAGCAGGUUCUAGAAAUAGCUUUAGUACCUGAGCUUUUUGGUCACUAAAUAUCCUCAAUACAGGAGCCCUGUCAUAGAAUGUUCUCCUCAACCAGGCUACAUGGAGGAUGCCAGUGUUCACUCAUAAGUCCAUGUGCUGAAUGGAGGAUUAUUAAUAUAUGACUCUCACUGUUUUGGAAGAGGCGGUUUAAUGCCACGAGUUCCUUGGGUGUUUGGAGGGUAAAGGCUGCAUACUGUCAUAAAGACAAUACCUCAGCAUGUGGUGACUGCUUUAGGUUUUUCUUAUCUCCAUGCCCCUUGGAGACCUUAGUCAUCAAAUAAACUAAAAAAGCUAAUCAUAUUCUUAAGAUACUCCUGGCUAAGCUUUGCCAAGAGACCUCAGAAACAUGGCUUAAAUUCUUACCUAUUGCCCUCAGGUUGAAAGUGGCACCUAAGGCUGCCUGACUAAAAUGCUAUAUAAAAAGGUCUUCUUCACCUCUGACACUCUCUUUGACUCAGGGAUACAGGAUCAGAUAAAAGUUUAUUAUUAAUCUUUUUCCUAUACAAGAGGCUAAUGGACUGUGGUAAUAAAAUUCUCACAGUGCCAGGUCCCAAAAGUCAUGACAGCCUGUCCCCAGGAGACCAAGGCUGAAGAGACACUUGCAGCAAAGACUCUAACUCUGAUCAGUUGCAGCCUAAAUGAAAGGGAUCCUACCAGGUGCUACUCAGCACUCCUACUGAAGUCAAAUUCAGGGCAUCCCAAGCUGGGUACCUUUGUCAAAGAUCUCAGUUCUACCUCUUUAGUCUUCACAGGUGCACACAGAGAACAAGUCUGCUCGCUCUUGUGAAUGCAUUGAAGAUCUCGAAUACAUCUUCAAAGGGCAAAAGGCUUCUCAAAAUGAUGAUGACCAUGCGAGGCAACAGCGAUUGGCCGUGACAGAUGAACAUUUUCCAGCUCAUGAGAUGGAUCGAUUAGAUAAGAAGAGGUUUCUGAACCCUGGAUAGGUAGGGACAACGCCCCUGGCCAGCAGGAAGUAGCUACAGAAGACGGAUCAUCAUCCUUCAGCACCCCCUUAAGAUUAAGGGUCAGAAAUCUCUGCGGGGGGAUGAGAUGGGAUAAGGCAGGUAGCUAGCUUAGGGCCACAGAGCUGGAAGUCCCAAGUCGCAAGCCCUCACCCCAUGUAAUUCUAUCCUACUUGUCCAAUAAACUGCCCCUUACUGGGCAUGUUUCCUUCUGGGUGGGGCACGUGCCAUGUGAAUAGCCACCACACUUCUACCUCAAAAGCAGCCAGCACUGGAAGAAGUGUGUCCUGCUCUUGGGAGACGGAUGCUGAGGUGCUCUCUCCACUCCUCUCCCAUCCGUUUUCUCCUUCUGGCCCACUCCCCACCCAUGCUCACAUUUCCUUGCUUUAUCAUCCCUUAAAUAAAUGUUAUCGUUUCGUGUACUGUA